UUUUGCAGUUCACGCCACCCAAUUACAGCGAGAAGAUGAUGAACAGCAUCUGGGGGCUUUACAACAGAUUUGCCUCUCAUUCCUUCCAGAAAAACAUAGAAGAAAUAGUUUCCAACUUCGACUUGACUGCUGUCUCUCAAACAAACGGACUUCUGGUGAGAGACAGCUAUAAUUAGGUUUCACUGAACUGAACACACUGCAUGUGAACGUGAAACUAAGAAGUUUGGAAUGUUUUGACGUGACACCUACAUUCUCGGUGCUCAAAGAUCUUCAUUUUAUAAUUAACGUUUCAGGGAUUUGGUUGUUUGCUAUUUUUGUACUCUUUUGUAUAUAUAUAUAUUUAUCUUCAAAAUCUUAACCUCUUUAUUUAUAUAUAAAACAAAAACUUUGCUUAACAGAAUUGGAAACACAUUUGUAUUGUCUACUUCAGAGGUCAGUAAGUAGAAGAAAAAUGAUUUCGUAUCCUAAUUAAUAAUAUCUUUAUACAAUCAGUCCAACUGUAUUAUUCAGAUUACACUCUUAUUAUAAAUCAGUUUAAAUAUACUGUAACACAGUCAGUUUACACCAAACCCACACAGUCAGUUUAAAUAUACAUUAAUACAAUCAGUUUACACCAAACUCAUACAGUUUAAAUAUACAUUAAUACAAUCAGUUUACACCAAA
rnacentral:lncRNA from 1 species